GAUGAACGCUGGCGGCGUGCCUAAUACAUGCAAGUCGAGCGAACAGACGAGAAGCUUGCUCCUCUGAUGUUAGCGGCGGACGGGUGAGUAACACGUGGAUAACCUACCUAUAAGACUGGGAUAACUUCGGGAAACCGGAGCUAAUACCGGAUAAUAUUUUGAACCGCAUGGUUCAAUAGUGAAAGACGGUUUUGCUGUCACUUAUAGAUGGAUCCGCGCUGCAUUAGCUAGUUGGUAAGGUAACGGCUUACCAAGGCAACGAUGCAUAGCCGACCUGAGAGGGUGAUCGGCCACACUGGAACUGAGACACGGUCCAGACUCCUACGGGAGGCAGCAGUAGGGAAUCUUCCGCAAUGGGCGAAAGCCUGACGGAGCAACGCCGCGUGAGUGAUGAAGGUCUUCGGAGCGUAAAACUCUGUUAUUAGGGAAGAACAGAUGUGUAAGUAACUAUGCACGUCUUGACGGUACCUAAUCAGAAAGCCACGGCUAACUACGUG
rnacentral:rRNA from 1 species